rnacentral:tRNA from 1 species
UCCUUGGUGGCUCAGACGGUAAAGCGUCUGCCUGCAAUGCGGGAGACCUGGGUUCAAUCCCUGGGUCAGGAA